rnacentral:rRNA from 1 species
GCGAAGCGUGGGGAGCAAACAGGAUUAGAUACCCUGGUAGUCCACGCUGUAAACGAUGUCGAUUUGGAGUUUGUUGCCUAGAGUGAUGGGCUCCGAAGCUAACGCGAUAAAUCGACCGCUGGGGAGUACGGCCGCAAGGUUAAAACUCAAAUGAAUUGACGGGGGCCCGCACAAGCGGUGGAGCAUGUGGUUUAAUUCGAUGCAACGCGAAGAACCUUACCUGGUCUUGACAUCCAUAGAAUUCUGCAGAGAUGUGGGAGUGCCUUCGGGAACUAUGAGACAGGUGCUGCAUGGCUGUCGUCAGCUCGUGUUGUGAAAUGUUGGGUUAAGUCCCGCAACGAGCGCAACCCUUAUUCUUUGUUGCCAGCGAUUUGGUCGGGAACUCAAAGGAGACUGCCGUUGAUAAAGCGGAGGAAGGUGGGGACGACGUCAAGUCAUCAUGGCCCUUACGACCAGGGCUACACACGUGCUACAAUGGCGUAUACAAAGGGAAGCGAAGGUGCGAGCUGGAGCGGAUCUCAUAAAGUACGUCUAAGUUCGGAUUGGAGUCUGCAACUCGACUCCAUGAAGUCGGAAUCGCUAGUAAUCGUAGAUCAGAAUGCUACGGUGAAUACGUUCCCGGGCCUUGUACACACCGCCCGUCACACCAUGGGAGUGGGUUGCACCAGAAGUAGAUAGCUUAACCGCGAGGGGGGCGUUUACCACGGUGUGAUUCAUGACUGGGGUGAAGUCGUAACAAGGUAACCA